GCGCCCGUAGCUCAGUUGGAUAGAGUGCCAGUUUCCGAAGCUGGAGGUCACAGGUUCGAUUCCUGUCGGGCGCACCA
rnacentral:tRNA from 3 species